GGCGAGAUGGCCGAGUGGUUAAGGCGGCAGCUUUAAGUCAUAUUAACUAUAUUUAUUCUGUUGGAGAGAUCCUCGCGGGUUCGAAUCCCGCUCUCGUCA
rnacentral:tRNA from 1 species